GACGAACGCUGGCGGCGUGCCUAAUACAUGCAAGUAGAACGCUGAAGGAGGAGCUUGCUUCUCUGGAUGAGUUGCGAACGGGUGAGUAACGCGUAGGUAACCUGCCUGGUAGCGGGGGAUAACUAUUGGAAACGAUAGCUAAUACCGCAUAAGAGUAGAUGUUGCAUGACAUUUGCUUAAAAGGUGCAAUUGCAUCACUACCAGAUGGACCUGCGUUGUAUUAGCUAGUUGGUGGGGUAACGGCUCACCAAGGCGACGAUACAUAGCCGACCUGAGAGGGGGGUCGGCCACACUGGGACUGAGACACGGCCCAGACGCCUAAGGGAGGCAGCAGGAGGGAAUCUUCGGCAAUGGACGGAAGUCUGACCGAGCAACGCUGCGUGAGUGAAGAAGGUUUUCGGAUCGUAAAGCUCUGUUGUAAGAGAAGAACGAGUGUGAGAGUGGAAAGUUCACACUGUGACGGUAUCUUACCAGAAAGGGACGGCUAACUACGUG
rnacentral:rRNA from 1 species